CUUUUUUUUUUUUUAAUGAAGAGUUAUAUAAAAAAUGAUUGAUUGAUUCAGCUGAGCAAAACUAAACGCUCCUUUGUCACCUUUAUUUUCCCUCCAAUUCUGUUCUCCUUCCCGUCAAACGAACAAGGCUUCCAAUCUCUGCCGCCAAACCAUAACCGCUCUCCUUUGCACUGAGAUCGCAAUUCCAUUUAGGUUUAGGUUUUAGUGAAAUGAGCCCCCUGCAAUUUAUGUUUUGGUUUUCAAUCUCUCUUUAUCUUGAUUCAUCUACACAUUCUCUUCCACAUGCACUUAGUUAUUUGAAUUUUAUAUGUUACAUUGUUGAAUAUUAGUGUUGUCGUUUUUUUAUAGUUAUCUUCAACUAUUAUACUGAUAUUUGUAUAUUCAAGCUAUCAAGUAAUUUUUUUUUGGGCACCGAUUCAUUGUAGUGCGUUCUUCGUAAUGUAUGUUUACUGUUGUAGUGUUGUGCAUAUUGCCUGAAAGGCAUUUCUGAUUACACAAGUUACAAGAUCAUUGUCUUUUUUCCUUGAUCAUGAAAAGUCUCUGGUUUUGUUUUUUAAAUUUAGUUUUUAUUGUGCUACGUUUUGUAUUUAAUUUUCUUCGAUUGUAAUUUUGUUAUCAGGAGGAGAUUUUUGACCUGUUUGACGCAGACGCACGGACUGAUUUAGCUUGCUUUUAGCAGAUGUGGAGAUACUGCACUUAUUGGCAUCUGCAUUUUUCAAAGGUUUUACACAGCUCUUGUAAGAAUAGCUUCUGCUAUCCUUCUUAUGCGUCUGUAACAGCUCUCCUUCUAUGGGAAGAAUCUUGCAUACCUUUCAGGCUAUGGAUCUUACAGAAGAUUUUUAUGUCUGCUGUACGAUGAAUUUUCAUCGUGCUGAUACCAAAAAUGUCUCUUGACACAGGGAGGAGUUAUGAAGUUGUGAUUGCUGCUACUCGUGAUAUAGGAAUUGGAAAGGAUGGGAAGUUGCCAUGGAGAUUGGCAUCCAAUCUCAGUUUUUCAAGGAGCAUACAUUGGCAGAAGCACCUUACAGAAUCUCAAUUGAGAAGGUGUUUCUGAUAGGGGGUGGUUAGAUAUUGUAGUAAUUUCACCUUGAUAAACAAAUUACAUGGCAGUAAUACAUGAUCAUGUGAAUUUUUAGUACAGGGAAACAAUUAAUGCACCAGGGUGUGAUGCCAUUCACAUUACUGAAAUUGAAACAGCCAUUGAAUGUGACACCUUCAUUCCAGUGGUUGAUUUUUUUUUUGUUUCAUUCAUGGCAUUCAUUUAUACCGACAGUGGAAAACAAUAUCCGGUGUUUUUUUGUGACAUAUGUUCGUGUUAGAAGUUUAGAAAAUGGUGCUCAAAGUGCUCCAGAAAAGUCAAAUGGUAAUUUGAAUUCCAACAAAUUACAAAAGAAGAAUUUUACUUUUCUGCCAAAAUGUAUUUUUGAGAAGCACGAUGAGUAUAUCAACCCGCACCUAAAAAGAUGACAGACCAGGGACUGGUACCCUAUCAAAACUUGGUUGUCAGGUUCUGUUUGUCUUUCUAUGUAUCUAUCUGCUCUGUUCUGCUUUUUCAAGCCAAUGUUGUAUAUAUGUUCUGGCAUGUCAACGAAAGACAUUUUUGUGUUGCACUAUUUGAGAUUUGCAGAUGCAGUUCAAUAUCUGCAGAUCUUUUCGACUUCCUACAGCAAAGCAUGAGAUAUUUUCAUCUGCUUUAUGCUAUUCAUGGCUGUUAUUUUCUAAUUUGGACAGAGAGUGUUUUGGAGGGGAAUUUUUGAAAACUUUUUUGGUUACAAGUGGUUCAACAAAUGCAAAGUGUUGGAGAAGAGGGUGACCUAGGAUCCAUAAAUGGCUUCCACACUCCAGUCAAGAUAUUUUGGUGCUAAGUGAUUUAACAUCUCCCUAGGUUCAAUCUGCUGGCGGAUGUUAUUGGCAAGAUAAGGAGUAAACCAGAUGACAGGCACAUUAUCCUCACAGCAUGGAACCCAUCAGAUCUCAAAUUAAUGGCUCUUCCACGUAGUCACAUGUUUUCACAGUUCUAUGUGGCCAAUGGGGAGCUAUCCUUCAAAUGUAUCAGCACUCAUGAGAAAAUUGAUCUGAAAAUGUCACUGUAGCUCUUUGAAAUACAUUACAGGUCUUACUUUAUUUUGGAGGAACUUGAUUAAGCCUUGAAGUUUGAUGCUCCUCAAUAUGCAAAUAAUUAGAUGCAAGUGUCUUGAAACCAUCAAAACUGCAAUAAGACAGAUGCAGAUGUAUAUCCAUCCGACCUGGUCUCAACAAUACCGGGUCGAGCUGAUCUUUGUAAUUCGUUGUAAACACCAGAAUUCUUUCAUCUCCGCAACUCGACCACAAGCCAUCAAUGAAAUUCAGAAGGCCAGAGAGCGUGACCUGCAAAAUCAAAUGGUAUGUUUACCAAAUUUUAGCUUACUUAAAAUGCCAUACAGUGCUUUAGGUAGAUCUCUAUGUACAGGGAAACAAAAACAUAGAAAUGAAAAAUACUGAAAUGAAACCAAACAAUUGUUUUUACAAAAUUAGGCUAUAAAUAUAAAACAAGUUGAAGCUUUAGAAAUGUUUUUGGAAAUAAAUAUAAAAUUUUGAAAUUUGAGAAAUAUUUUCAGAAACGGAAAUGAAAAUAUCAAAAUGUAGGAGUCCACAAGGUUUUUUUUAUGAAAGAGUUACUUUAUCAUCUUCCUUAGACUCGAAAGAACGAUCAAUAUCUUCGACAACUAAAAUGGACCGGUUUCCUGUACCGAUCAGCAAUCUCCUCAAAUCUGAAUUGCAUUGAACCUCCUUUAAAUCCAAAUCAUAAACAUCAAACUUAAGGUAAUUAGCCAUGGCAGCAACCAAGCUUGAUUUUCCAGUGCCAGGUGGCCCAUAUAACAAAUAUCCACGUUUCCAAGCCUUGCCUACCCUUCUGUAGAACUCUUUCCUUGAAAUAAAUUGAUCAAGAUCCUUAAUUAACAUCUCCUUCAUCUCUGGAUCCAUUGCUAUUGUAUCAAAAUUUGCAGGAUGAUCAAAACUGAUGGAUCCCCAAUAAUCAGUACCGUUAUAGUCAAUUGUGUGUAAUUUCAAUGUCUUCUUCUCUUCUCUUAUUGCUUUGGCUUUCUGAAGAAUGUAGGGCAAAUAACUACUCAACACCAUGUUUCUAUGUUUCUUGUGAAAACUGAGUUCAAAAUACCGUAAUUCAGAUUUCGAAAAGGCACCACCAUUGCUCUUUUUGUUUGAAGGAAGAUGGUUUUCGAUGUGCGAUGAGGCUAAAAUCCACCUCAAUUUUACUCCUUUAAACACAUCCACAAGUUCUUGAUCCGUGUCAAUAGUCACUGCUAAUUCCUUCUCCUUCUCUGGCUUGUUUACUUUAAUUCUCCUCUUGGAAGCCGAUAAAUUAGAGCCUAAAUAAACAUUAGCGGCGUGGAACAUUUGGUUGGAAGUAAGGCCAUCGAAUUCUUCGAUGACAACAGUGAGCUGAGAUGAGAAGAAGGUAGAUAUUUUUUUAGCAGUUGAAUUAAGGUAUUGAUGAAGAGCCUGUGGAAUGAGAUCUCUUGCUAUAGAAUGAACAACGAUUGUAGAAGCAGCAACAGAAGCCGCUGUUGAUAGGAUAGUUUCUGCUUUCGGUAGAGCUGUCAUGUUAUUCAUCUUAUACUUUGAGAUUUUGUUCAGCUAAAUUACAAAAGAGACUGUGAUGGGGUUUUUGUUUGAA